rnacentral:rRNA from 1 species
UACGGAGGGUGCAAGCGUUAUCCGGAUUCACUGGGUUUAAAGGGUGCGUAGGCGGAUUGAUAAGUCAGUGGUGAAAGCCUGCAGCUUAACUGCAGAACUGCCAUUGAUACUGUCAAUCUUGAAUGUGGUUGAUGUGGGCGGAAUAUGACAUGUAGCGGUGAAAUGCUUAGAUAUGUCAUAGAACACCGAUUGCGAAGGCAGUUCACAAAGCCAUUAUUGACGCUGAGGCACGAAAGCGUGGGGAUCAAACAGG